rfam:Macleaya cordata isolate BLH2017 scaffold1837, whole genome shotgun sequence.
AAACAGACCAGUCUAGCCAUGAUCAGGUUGAAGAGAGCUCUAACAAGCCUUGGAGGACCGAACCCACGUAUGUGGCAAAAAACGGGGAUGACUUGUGGCUAGGGGUGAAAAGCCAACCAAGAUAGGAUAUAG